UGCAAUGAUUUUUAUUUACAAGUACAUGUAUUUUCACAUUUUUUAGUGUUUACUCAGUUCCACUUAUGUCAGGUA